rnacentral:rRNA from 1 species
GACGAACGCUGGCGGCGUGCUUAACACAUGCAAGUCGAACGGAAAGGCCCUGCUUUUGUUGGUUGCUCGAGUGGCGAACGGGUGAGGUACACGUGAGUAGCCUGACCUUCACUUUGGUAUAACUUCAGGGAACUGGGGCGAAUCCCGUAUAGGAGCUCCUGCUUCAUUGUGGGGGUUGGUCAGUUUCGGCGGUUGUGGAUGGACUCGAGGCGUAUGAGCCUGUUGGUGGGGUAGUUGCUGAGCAAGGCUUUGAUGGGUAGACGGCCUGAGAGGGUUACCGGCACCAUCGGGACUGAGAUACGGCCCAGACGCCGACGGGAGGGAGCAGUGGGGAAUAGUGCACAACGGGCGGAAGGCUGAUGCAGCAGCGCCGCGUGCGGGAUGACGGCCUUCGGGUUGUAAACCGCUUCUGCCUGGGAUGAAGCGGGAGUGACGGUAAUGGGUAAAGAAGCACCGGCUAACUACGUG